AACGAACGCUGGCGGCAUGCCUAACACAUGCAAGUCGAACGACACCUUAGUGUGUAGUUGCUCAUGGGUGCGUCAAGUGUGGGACGCUUCACUUAGACAUGGAAUUCCUCUCCUACAGGGGUGCUAAUGCAGGGUAAUUUACUCUGACACCGCAUAUGACCCACUUGUAUAAGCACGCGUUCGUUUAACCUGUUGCUAUGGUAAGAGCCUAUGUUGGAUUAGCUAGUUGGCAGGGUAAAGGCCCACCAAGGCGACGAUCCGUAGCUGGUCUGAGAGGAUGAUCAGCCACACUGGAACUGAGACACGGCCCAGACUCCUACGGGAGGCAGCAGUGGGGAAUAUUGGACAAUGGGCGCAAGCCUGAUCCAGCCAUACCGCGUGGGUGAAGAAGGCCUUCGGGUUGUAAAGCCCUUUUGUUGGGAAAGAAAAGCAGCAGGUUAAUACCCCGCUGUUCUGACGGUACCCAAAGAAUAAGCACCGGCUAACUUCGUG
rnacentral:rRNA from 1 species